rnacentral:rRNA from 1 species
AUGCUGCGCGCCGCCGUUCUCGCCGUCGUCACCGGCUUCGCCGCCGCCGGAUUCAUCUCAAAUGACGCGCUCCAAUCGCACUCGCACGGCGGCGCCGGCCGGAGCUUGCUGCAGGCCAAGAAGGAAUGCCCGGUGACCUUCGAGGGGGCCAACUACACCCUCAUCACGAGCAAGUGUAAAGGGCCCCUGUACCAGCCGGCGCUGUGCUGCCCGGCGCUCACGGAGUUCGCGUGCCCCUACGACACCUACAUCAACGACGUCGCCACCAACUGCGCCGCCACCAUGUUCAGCCUCAUCCACCUCUACGGCAAGUACCCGGCGGGGCUCUUCGCCAAUACAUGCAAGGGGGACAACCUGGGGCUCAAAUGCCCUGAGGACGUCCCGCAGGUCCAGCCGGGCGAGGAGGGCAAGAGCUCCGCCGCCGUUGCUACUGCCGCACAGGCGGCACUCGCCGCGGCCAGCGCGGCUGUCAUGUCCCUGCUCAUUGUAAUGUCUUGA